AACCACUCACGCCUGGCGUGGUAUUGGGGCACGCGGUCUCCGCGGCCCUCAAAAUUAGUGGCGGUGCCGGUGGGCUCUAAGCGUAGUACAUACUCCCGUUAUACAGUUCCCCCGGUGGCUCGCCAGAACCCCCAAUUUUUUACA
rnacentral:misc_RNA from 1 species